UUUUCCUCUUCUUCUUCUGUUAACGAUAUCAUUGUCAGAUGGAGUCGACAUUCCGAUUCAUCGAUGCUUCAAUUGAUGAUCACUUCAUUCUUUCAGCAUUUCUUUCUCUUGUCUCAUUUUUCUUUGUCUGUUGCCAUUCAUUCAAUUUCACUUGACUUUCCUUUAUUCUGCCCAUUUUAUAACCAACUGAGAAUUAAAUCAUCUUCAUCUUUUUCAACAUUUCCAAUCCUUCAAUCCAAAUAAUUCUGAUCAGCCUUUUCAAUGAUAAAUCUGUUGAUGAGAUUUCCGUAUAGUCUAUACUGACCCUGUUCUGAGUCAAGAUGCUAGCUUGAUGUGGGCUCUACAGAGCGUUUUUACCCAUUGAGCCUAUUUACAGUUAUAAUUUAUUAAAGAUUGGGUAACGUGAUUGAGUGCCUAAUAUGGCUUAGGAGAUGUUGUCCAACUGUUCGGUGAUGUUAAUGUUGCUUUAAUCGUUGACUGUAUUUGGGCAAUAAACACCUCAAGUGUACCAUCUAUUAACUGUUACCCUGUAACUUUGGUCAAUGAAUUUGCUUCUACUACAUAAAUGAGUACAUGAGUACAUGAGUUGUCUACUUCGUUACACUAAUAAAUUUAAUCAACAGUUGAUCACCAAACAUUUCCAAUCUAUCAUUAUGUUCAUUAUGAGUCUCACCAUACCCUUGAUUUUCAUGAUUAUUUUAUUUCGACUGUUGUGAAGUUGUUCGCACUUAACGGCACUUAUACAUGGACGUAUUAGCUGAAUGGCCCUGAACUAGUUGCAAAUUGGCCCUCAAUAAUUCAAGUAUCAUUAUAAUCAAUCCAAAAUAGUUGGCAAUCGUAGUCCCCGCACUGGCUACUGGCAACCUAAUAAGAAUACACAAAUAUCGCGAAUGCACACAGAUUGGCAUUAGAAUAAGUUCACAUGAAAUUACAGCAACUGAUGAAGAAAGAAGGAGUGAAAAAGGUAAAAAAUAUAAAAUUUAUAGAGUGAGCUUAUUAGACGUGGGUAAUUUAGGCAGUUCAUUAAUACUCUAAGACUGGAGAAAAUUGUGUGAUAUGGGAAAAUGGAUGAAAUUAUCACGAAUGAGCACAAAUGUGUAGAGAUGAAUGCAUAAAAAGAGUAAGACAGUUGAAAACAAUGUACAUGUUAAGAAAAUUGCAAUUCUCUUGAUGAUUGUCUUGACUGAGGAAACAAGAUUAAUUAAGGAUACACACCUCAUCAAGCUGGAUUUUGGUCCUUUCUUUCCAAAUUAAACUUGCUCUUUGUUAUUCUACCA